CCAUACCUGUAGGGUCUAGCUUACAACAGUUCCCAUACGAUCACCGAAGUUAAGCAACGUCAAUCUUGAUCAGUACCUAAAUAGGUGACCGUAUGGGAAUACCAUGAAGUAGU